rnacentral:lncRNA from 1 species
UGCUUUGAAUUGCCUCUUCCUCUUUUGCCAUUAUCUAUUGCCUUGCAUCAUUUGUAAGUUUGGCCUGGGAUGUCUUUGCCUCCCAGACAUGCUAGGGACAGGGACCCUGUGCUGUUAUUUUUCUCAUAUCCCUCACAGUGCCUAUGAUGUAUCCAAUGCAGCCACCACUCCCACCGCUGAGACAUCUGUCUUUCUUUCCUUCUUGUCACUCCCAGACCUCAGCAAGUGGCCGCUUUAAAAAGAGAAUAAGAGCUUUAUUGAGGUUUAAUUCACAGACCAUAUAUUCACCCUUGUAAAGUGUGCAAUUCAAUGGGUUUCAAUGUAUUUGCAGAGUGGUGCAACCACCACCACCACCUAAUUUUUAAACAUUUUGAUUUUUAUUUGGUCUCACUCUGUCACCCAGCCUGGAGUGCAGUGAUGUGAUCAUAGCUCGUUGCAUCCUCGAACUCCUAGGCUAAAGUAAUUCUUCCACUUCAGCCUCCCACAUAACUAGGACUACAGGUGCACAAAGUGUUGGGAAAAGAUCAGCUCCUGUGAAAAAAUAAAACACUAUUCACACUUCUACCUGAUUUUUUCUCAUUCUGGUGGAAUUCCCCCCACCACAAAUGAGUUUCUUAAAACCAAACAACAAACCAACCAGCUCACCCCCACCCACCCCAUCACAACACAUUUAUUUAGUGCCUACUUGUUGUUGGUUACUUACAAUGAAAGAAAGGCAGGCAGAUGGAUAACCUAGUUCAAUAUUUUACGUGAGAUGCAUUAUUUUACUAAGUCCUUUCCAAACCAUACCCAUCAGAUCCUAUCUCCAUGGGAGUGGAGAAAUUUGAGCAACAGAGAGGUUAGGAAAUUUUCCUGAGGUCACAGGGUUAGGCAGUAGCAGAGCCGGAAUUUAAACCCCAGUCUUCUGUCUCCAAAUGACCUGCUUGGCUAAUGCUAGAUUGGCCUUGAAAGGUUAUAUUUUUAUUUGGUUGAGGAGACUCUUUCAGUUCCAGGCGACCAAAACAAACAAUUCUUUAUGCCAUGGCUGGGCUGAAAAUUCCUCAGUGAAGGGCAGUGGCUCUGGGAAUAUUUUACACAUCUCUUCUCAUCUUCAAAGGCAGCUGAGCCGUGGUGUCCUGGGUUCUGUGGUGGCCUCAUCUGCAGACUCCCACAAGAAUUUGGGGAAAUCUUUGCAGGCAUGUGGGGGUUGGCCCCUUGGGAAGAACAUUCAGACAGUGUGGAGUCAUAGCUGGUACCCAGGGCCCAGAAGAUGCCCCACUGCUCCUUCGGGAUGCCCCACGGGAAGUGCCGUUCCAUUGUUGUGGGCGGAAUUUUGUGGAACACAACCCCUUGGAGCCAGCUCAGGCACGAGGGUUGCAUGUGGGGGGGCCCGGGCAGGGCAUGGUUAUUGGAGUGGGACAGGGAUGGAUCUCUAGAUGGAAAGUGAGGCCAGCGGCUGGUGGGAACUGGAUCUUGGAAGCCCCAGAGAGGGAGCAGCUGCUCUCUCUUGGGCUGCGUGGCUUAGCUCUUUGCCUAUUUCUGAGCCUCUGCCCCAUUUUCCAAUUUGAGCCAGGCUUCCCCUGCUUGCUUUGACUUCUCUGCUCUGUGUGCCCCCUCCAGCUUCAGUUUGCAGGUAGCUUGGUUUUCUAGAGGGCCUCUUGUGGCUGUGACCACACACAACCCUAAAUGCCAUCACCAUCUUACCUACAUUAUGUUUUUUCUUUCUACAUUUUGUAAUUUUAAACUAGAUGAAGAAUUCCAUAAAACAUGCAAAAAAAGCAAGGAUGUGCCCAGUGCUGAAAGCCUGGGCCUGGAGUGAGAGUGUGGAGGCAGGAGGUAGCAGUGGCUCCCGGGUUAGCGCUGAGGAGCUGCAUUUAGGUUAAUGGGGACUGGGCCAGGGCAGGGGUGGGCCUAAUGGUGACAUUGGCAGUUGUCUGGAGCAGCCCUGGGAACCUAGCUCUGUGGAAGGCAGGGCAGGGGUGGUGUCCCCAGGGGAAGGGUGGUAUCAACCCACAGACACACUCAAGGCUCAGAAUCAUUGGAAGGGGGUGGGUGGAUGCUGGUCAGUGGGUGCCCAGGCUGGACAAGUGAGUGCCCCUCCAGACACAGGCAUUGGGAGACUCAGCAUGUGUUCCCCUCCCCAUCACAGAGCAAGGCAAUGUUUAAAAACUAGAAUAGAUGCCUAGGAAGCGGGUACUGUGGCCAUUCCAGGCACCUAGAACAAGGGCAGGCUUCAAACAGGGAGCCCUGUGGUAACCCCUCCCAUCUCUGGAGCUGAGGGAGGGGACAGGGGAAGCCAAGAACAGAGACAGGAAAAGGGGAAAAGUGGCCAGGGGGACAGACAGAAGGAGGAUGGUCUUCUUGACCCCAUCACCCUCAGGGCUGGGGGCACAGAGUUGGCCCAUCCUGCCAGCCUCACCACCCCUCAGAAGAGGCCACAGUUCUUCUGGCUAUGAUUUUUUAUUUUGAGACAGGGUCUUGCUCUGUCAUCCAGGCUGGAGUGCAGUGGUGUGAUCAUAGCUCGCUGCAGCCUCUAACUCCUGGGCUCAAGCGAUCCUCCUGCCUCAGGAUCCUAGUCCCGAGUAGCUGGGACUACAGGUGCAUGCCACUGUGCCUGGCUUUUUUUUCUUUUUUGGUAGAGAUGGGGUUGCACUCUGUUGUCCAGGCUAAUUUUGAACUCCUGGCUUCAAGAUAUCCUCCUGCCUCGGCCUCUCACAGUGUUGGAAUAAUAGGCAUAAGCCACCACACCCAGCCCUUCUGGCUGUUCUUGAUGGUGAUGUCAGUCGUGCUCUGCACAUUCUGUUUUUCAUGUCGGUGACAGCAUAGGUGACUUGUGCAUGGAUCUCCCUGGUGUUCUUGCGCUAUUCAGGCCCUCUCACUUACUCUGAUGUAGCUGGCAGCCUCGUCAGACUUGCUGACCCCUGUGUACUUGUGGAAGCAGAUGGUGGGGGCUGCGUGUGAUCUUCUCCUCACCUAGGUCCUUCUUCUUGAUGAAGAGGAUGACAGACGUUUCCAUGACCACUUGACAUAGAUGCUGCCAAACAGCUUCAUGUUCUGGUGUGUGUGAUUCAGCUUGUCCUCAGCUCAGGCCACAGAUGCUCAAGCCUGCACAGAAGAUGGUGGCUGUGAUGCCCUCAAAGCAGUGGGUCCACUGCUGCCCAGACUGCUGACUGCCACAUCAGCCAUCUUGAAGAGAGUAGGUCCCUGGAGGUGAAGGGCGUCUUUAAGCAGCUCUGCAGCUCCACCUUCUGUGUGGGGGCAUGGUCACUCUGUGUCCUGUGGCUCCAGGUCGUUCAGGUGGAAGGCGGCUAAACUGUGGAGCUGGUGUCCUGUGGGUAACCAAAGCAGGAUGAAACAGGCAUCCCAUGGAGCAAAUCCAAUGGGCAGCCCAGAGAUUCCGGAUGACGCUGGACAGCUUCAGUUUGCAGGUGGCAUCUGGACAGGUCCUCAGGGAGUGCACCCUGGCCCACAACUGUGUAAGACAUUGCAAACUGUUGCCUGGCAUCAUCCGUAUGGAAGGGGUUGGCAAAGUCAGUCUGUAGGUUGCCUGUGGCCUUGACGAUGGCCAUGAUGGCCUGGAGGGUGUGGCUGUAGAUGACUGCCCUGCACAGCCAACCUUCCUCCUCUGAGUAACCAUCCUCUUGGAUGAUCUGCUUUGAGGUCCUUAGGGCAGGUAUCUAUCUCUAGUCUAAUCAAGGGAGAGCGUGUGGUACAACCAUGGCUUCCUACUUCCUAGAGCUGCACCUAAGACAAAGAUGCUUUAACACAUCUGCCUGGACCAGGGGCUAGCUGAGGACAUUUGCUUCACUCCAGACCAUCAGCGGGAGGGCAGAACCUGGAGCAUGGCUUCCCGGGCUCAGUGU